GCCAGGUGUGGUGGUUUGCACCUGUAGUCCUAGCUACUUGGGGGGCUGAGGUGGGAGGAUUGCUUGAGCCCAGGAGGUCAAGGCUGCAGUGAGCUAUGAUUGCACCACUGCACUCCAGCCUGGGCGACAGUGUGAGAUCCUGUCUCUA
rnacentral:SRP_RNA from 1 species